rnacentral:rRNA from 1 species
GACGAACGCUGGCGGCGUGCUUAACACAUGCAAGUCGAGCGGAAAGGCCCUUCGGGGUCCUCGAGCGGCGAACGGGUGAGUAACACGUGAGUAACCUGCCCCAGACUUUGGGAUAACCCUCGGAAACGGGGGCUAAUACCGGAUACGACACAGCUUCGCAUGGGGUCUGUGUGGAAAGUUUUUCGGUUUGGGAUGGGCUCGCGGCCUAUCAGCUUGUUGGUGGGGUGAUGGCCUACCAAGGCGACGACGGGUAGCCGGCCUGAGAGGGCGACCGGCCACACUGGGACUGAGACACGGCCCAGACUCCUACGGGAGGCAGCAGUGGGGAAUAUUGCACAAUGGGCGGAAGCCUGAUGCAGCGACGCCGCGUGAGGGAUGACGGCCUUCGGGUUGUAACCCUCUUUCAGCAGGGACGAAGCGUAAGUGACGGUACCUGCAGAAGAAGCGCCGGCCAACUACGUG